rnacentral:tRNA from 1 species
CCCGUGAUAGCUCAGUUGGUAGAGCGGAGGAGUGUAAAUCCUUAGGUCGCUGGUUCAACUCCGGCUCGCGGGA